rnacentral:lncRNA from 10 species
CCUCGUGCUGCGACAGUGGGGGAGCUGUGAGUUGCCUCCUGGCUGACUUCCAGUGCCCGGCCCAGAGGACGCGUCCAUAGAUGUUAGUUAAGAAAGCGGCCGAACAUUUAGCAGUCAGGCGCUGACGUUUAUUUAGCUCGCGCUGUGAGUCAGACACUGAGCUAAACGUUCCACCCUGGUUAUCUACUUCAGCCCUACUUAAUCGGGUGCUACCAAGGUUUUGCUUUUGCAUGGAAAUGUCUACUGCACAGUUGCACCACUGAGAAGGACAGCAGAAAGAUGAAGGUCUUAGAAUCAUUGAUUGGAAUGAUCCAGAAAUUCCCUUAUGAUGACCCUACUUACGAUAAACUCCAUGAAGACUUAGACAAGAUCAGAGGAAAAUUUAAACAGUUUUGUUCGUUACUCAAUGUUCAGCCAGACUUUAAAAUUAGUGCAGAAGGUUCCGGACUUUCAUUUUGAGGAGGAUGGAUGAACAGAGACCGAACGUCGAGGAACAGAUGUGUGUGUGACGUGUUUAGAAAUGCGGUGAAGGG